GGAUCCUUCGGGAUUAGUGGCANACGGGUGAGUAACGCGUGGGAAGCUACCUUGUGGUAGGGAACAACAGUUGGAAACGACUGCUAAUACCCUAUGAGCCCUAUGGGGGAAAGAUUUAUCGCCAUGAGAUGUGCCCGCGUUAGAUUAGCUAGUUGGUAAGGUAAUGGCUUACCAAGGCGACGAUCUAUAGCUGGUCUGAGAGGAUGAUCAGCCACACUGGGACUGAGACACGGCCCAGACUCCUACGGGAGGCAGCAGUGGGGAAUAUUGGACAAUGGGGGCAACCCUGAUCCAGCCAUGCCGCGUGUGUGAUGACGGCCUUAGGGUUGUAAAGCACUUUCAGCAGUGAAGAUAAUGACAUUAACUGCAGAANAAGCCCCGGNUAACUUCNUGCCAGCAGCCGCGGUAAU
rnacentral:rRNA from 1 species